rnacentral:rRNA from 1 species
UACGUAGGGGGCUAGCGUUGUCCGGAAUCAUUGGGCGUAAAGCGCGCGUAGGCGGCCCGGUAAGUCCGCUGUAAAAGUCAGGGGCUCAACCCUUGAACGCCGGUGGAUACUGCCGGGCUAGAGUCCGGAAGAGGCGAGUGGAAUUCCUGGUGUAGCGGUGAAAUGCGCAGAUAUCAGGAAGAACACCAAUGGCGAAGGCAGCUCUCUGGGACGGUACUGACGCUGAGGUGCGAAAGCGUGGGGAGCAAACAGG